UUGGAUAUUGUUGCACUCCUAUAG
rnacentral:piRNA from 1 species